rnacentral:rRNA from 1 species
CAGUCGAACGGGAAUUACUUUAUUGAAACUUCGGUCGAUUUAAUUUAAUUCUAGUGGCGGACGGGUGGGUAACGCGUGGGUAACCUGCCUUAUACAGGGGGAUAACAGUCAGAAAUGGCUGCUAAUACCGCAUAAGCGCACAGAGCUGCAUGGCUCGGUGUGAAAAACUCCGGUGGUAUAAGAUGGACCCGCGUUGGAUUAGCUUGUUGGUGGGGUAACGGCCCACCAAGGCGACGAUUGGUAGCCGGACUGAGAGGUUGAAUGGCCACAUUGGGACUGAGACACGGCCCAGACUCCUACGGGAGGCAGCAGUGGGGGAUAUUGCACAAUGGGGGAAACCCUGAUGCAGCGACGCCGCGUGGAGGAAGAAGGUUUUCGGAUUGUAAACUCCUGUCGUUAGGGACGAUAAUGACGGUACCUAACAAGAAAGCACCGGCUAACUACGUGCCAGCAGCCGCGGUAAAACGUAGGGUGCAAGCGUUGUCCGGAAUUACUGGGUGUAAAGGGAGCGCAGGCGGGAAGACAAGUUGGAAGUGAAAACCAUGGGCUCAACCCAUGAAUUGCUUUCAAAACUGUUUUUCUUGAGUAGUGCAGAGGUAGAUGGAAUUCCCGGUGUAGCGGUGGAAUGCGUAGAUAUCGGGAGGAACACCAGU